ACUCGGUCUGUGAACCAGGUAACCACACAGCUUUGAUGAUGAAGUUCCCCGUUGCCAACUGAGGGUGCAAAACCAAGUGAUCCGAAACAGAGCCUGAGCUACUAAAGAUAAGUCUAGUAGAAAAUCCUAGAUCAAUAUUAAUCUCUAUUUCUCCUGACUAAAAGCCACGGAAUGUCUUUCCAUGGAGGACAGAACAGGACUCACAUACAGCCUGCACUGACGAUGGCAAAUUCUGAACCAGUGUCGGACCUGGAGGCAACAGAAAGGACAAGGAAUCAUCACAAGAAAGAAGGAAUGACACAGAGCAUUUUAAAAGCCAAGCCCAAAUGCAGAAAGAAACAGUACAGCCCAGGCUGUCAAAAUAAUUAGUAAGAUAGCUUAGAUGGAUAUUUCAAUAGCAGUACUAUUUCCAAGAACCAGUUAAUUGCUUAAUAGCUAACACUCUCAAUUGUAAGGUUUUCAUUUCCCAUCAUAUUCACUUUCCAAUCUUGCAAGUAAAGACGACAACUGAAAAUAA